rnacentral:rRNA from 2 species
UGGGGAAUAUUGCACAAUGGAGGGAACUCUGAUGCAGCGACGCCGCGUGAACGAAGAAGGCUUUCGAGUCGUAAAGUUCUUUUAUAUGGGAAGAUAAUGACGGUACCAUAAGAAAAAGCCCCGGCUAACUACGUGCCAGCAGCCGCGGUAAUACGUAGGGGGCUAGCGUUGUCCGGAAUCACUGGGCGUAAAGGGUUCGCAGGCGGAAAUGCAAGUCAGGUGUAAAAGGCAGUAGCUUAACUACUGUAAGCAUUUGAAACUGCAUAUCUUGAGAAGAGUGGAGGUAAGUGGAAUUUUUAGUGUAGCGGUGAAAUGCGUAGAUAUUAAAAAGAAUACCGGUGGCGAAGGCGACUUACUGGGCUCAUUCUGACGCUGAGGAACGAAAGCGUGGGUAGCAAACAGG